rnacentral:rRNA from 1 species
UACGUAGGGGGCAAGCGUUGUCCGGAUUUAUUGGGCGUAAAGGGCGCGUAGGCGGCCUGGCAAGUGACGGGUGAAAGCCCUCGGCUCAACCGAGGAACUGCCUGUCAUACUGCCGGGCUUGAGUCCGGGAGAGGUGAGUGGAAUUCCCAGUGUAGCGGUGAAAUGCGUAGAUAUUGGGAGGAACACCAGUGGCGAAGGCGGCUCACUGGACCGGAACUGACGCUGAGGCGCGAAAGCGUGGGGAGCAAACAGG